CCUACGGGUGGCAGCAGUGGGGAAUAUUGGACAAUGGGGGCAACCCUGAUCCAGCCAUGCCGCGUGUGUGAAGAAGGCCCUCGGGUUGUAAGCACUUUCAGUGAGGAAGAACGCCUGGUGGUUAAUACCCAUCAGGAAAGACAUCACUCACAGAAGAAGCACCGGCUAACUCCGUGCCAGCAGCCGCGGUAAUACGGAGGGUGCGAGCGUUAAUCGGAAUUACUGGGCGUAAAGCGCGCGUAGGUGGCUUGAUAAGCCGGUUGUGAAAGCCCCGGGCUCAACCUGGGAACGGCAUCCGGAACUGUCAAGCUAGAGUGCAGGAGAGGAAGGUAGAAUUCCCGGUGUAGCGGUGAAAUGCGUAGAGAUCGGGAGGAAUACCAGUGGCGAAGGCGGCCUUCUGGACUGACACUGACACUGAGGUGCGAAAGCGUGGGUAGCAAACAGGAUUAGAUACCCUAGUAGUC
rnacentral:rRNA from 1 species